ensembl:lncRNA
CUGUUGCUCAAUAUUCUAGCUCCUCUGACAGUAGUUCCUGUUGCAAGGCAUAUCACAGAAACACACCCUGACAGCCGAGCCCCAGACACCCCCACCCCCGCGAGAAUCCAAAUCUCGCGAUAUGAGAGGAUCGUCUGGUUUGCUGCUCUAAGAUGGCGAAGACAUGUAGGAGUCACUGUCUCAGGCUCGUGAAGAGGAUACAGCAAUGUUUUUCUGAGGAUGGUGUGACCAAAUUGGCUGAGCUUUGCCUCGGUGUUAUGAUCGUGGACUGUGGUGCUGGGGGCUGUGAGCUGAGGUAGUAGUUUGUAUAGUUUGGGAUCACACCAGAUCUAGGAGAUAACUAUACAGUCUACUGUCUUUCUCACGGCUCCUGCGUCGCAUCAUGCCCUCCAUCAUGGAAGUAGAGAAAAUGUAAAUGGAGCGCUCCAAGUGAAACGUACAGCAUGGGACAUGUUCGGAUGUGGCUUGGGUGUGCUGAGGUAGUAAGUUGUGUUGUUGUGGGGGAUGGUAUUAUUUGCCCUUUUUUUUUUUUGGAGAUAACCAUACAUCUUACUGCCUUCCAUGCCAGAGUCCUGAACCACAGCAAUUAGUAUAAAUAAUUCCAUCCUGAACAAUUGAUGUAUUUUAUUAUAUGCAUUGCCUAUGAAUAUUUUAUCUGUUGUCUGUUCUUCAGGAAGUACAUUCAAUAAACUGAGCACAUUUUAUGAA